rnacentral:lncRNA from 1 species
GCGUCCUUCACCCAGGGACGCUGCUCUGGUCCGAGGUACGUUAUGGAUCUGGAUUUGCCGUCGGCCUCUCUGGCUCUUUCUGCUGGGCCUGCUGGAAGGAAGGCCCUGGCUCUGCCUGGAUGAGCCCAUCUGUCUGUGCGGCCGUGUGGCCAGCUUCCUGUCCCACCUGUGGUGCCCUCCUGUGGGGCUGGGAGACGUCCCCAGCUCUUGCGCUGGAGCUUUCUACGCCAACUGGGGGCUAUAAAAUACUGACUUGACAUUCGAGCAGCCAUCUGAUAAGUUUUGCUUUCCUGUACUUCCUCUUACCGAACUUCCCCCACCCCAUUAGUGACCUGCCCCAUGCUACCAUCACCCUAAGCCAAUCCACGAUGACAGGACCCUUGACUCUGGAAAGCCCCAUGGUGCCAUCGACCUAAGCCCAUCCCAUGCUAUUCCCACGGGCCUAGCUCUGAUGCAAGCACCCCAUGCCUGUCCCACAUGCACAGCUAUACCUCCAAACCCCUACCCCACAAAAGCUG